rnacentral:rRNA from 2 species
GUCGAGCGGACAGAUGGGAGCUUGCUCCCUGAUGUUAGCGGCGGACGGGUGAGUAACACGUGGGUAACCUGCCUGUAAGACUGGGAUAACUCCGGGAAACCGGGGCUAAUACCGGAUGCUUGUUUGAACCGCAUGGUUCAAACAUAAAAGGUGGCUUCGGCUACCACUUACAGAUGGACCCGCGGCGCAUUAGCUAGUUGGUGAGGUAACGGCUCACCAAGGCAACGAUGCGUAGCCGACCUGAGAGGGUGAUCGGCCACACUGGGACUGAGACACGGCCCAGACUCCUACGGGAGGCAGCAGUAGGGAAUCUUCCGCAAUGGACGAAAGUCUGACGGAGCAACGCCGCGUGAGUGAUGAAGGUUUUCGGAUCGUAAAGCUCUGUUGUUAGGGAAGAACAAGUACCGUUCGAAUAGGGCGGUACCUUGACGGUACCUAACCAGAAAGCCACGGCUAACUACGUGCCAGCAGCCGCGGUAAUACGUAGGUGGCAAGCGUUGUCCGGAAUUAUUGGGCGUAAAGGGCUCGCAGGCGGUUUCUUAAGUCUGAUGUGAAAGCCCCCGGCUCAACCGGGGAGGGUCAUUGGAAACUGGGGAACUUGAGUGCAGAAGAGGAGAGUGGAAUUCCACGUGUAGCGGUGAAAUGCGUAGAGAUGUGGAGGAACACCAGUGGCGAAGGCGACUCUCUGGUCUGUAACUGACGCUGAGGAGCGAAAGCGUGGGGAGCGAACAGGAUUAGAUACCCUGGUAGUCCACGCCGUANACGAUGAGUGCUAAGUGUUAGGGGGUUUCCGCCCCUUAGUGCUGCAGCUAACGCAUUAAGCACUCCGCCU